GCGAGGCCGAAAGGCGUAGUCGAUGGGAAACAGGUUAAUAUUCCUGUACUUGGUGUUACUGCGAAGGGGGGACGGAGAAGGCUAUGUUAGCCGGGCGACGGUUGUCCCGGUUUAAGCAUGUAGGCUGGUUAUCCAGGCAAAUCCGGAUAAUCAAGGCUGAGGUGUGAUGACGAGGCACUACGGUGCUGAAGUAACAAAUGCCCUGCUUCCAGGAAAAGCCUCUAAGCAUCAGGUAACAUCAAAUCGUACCCCAAA
rnacentral:rRNA from 2 species